AUUGAACGCUGGCGGCAUGCCUUACACAUGCAAGUCGAACGGCAGCACGGGAGCAAUCCUGGUGGCGAGUGGCGAACGGGUGAGUAAUAUAUCGGAACGUGCCCAGUCGUGGGGGAUAACGUAGCGAAAGCUACGCUAAUACCGCAUACUAUCUAUGGAUGAAAGCGGGGGAUCGCAAGACCUCGCGCGAUUGGAGCGGCCGAUAUCAGAUUAGGUAGUUGGUGAGGUAAAGGCUCACCAAGCCGACGAUCUGUAGCUGGUCUGAGAGGACGACCAGCCACACUGGGACUGAGACACGGCCCAGACUCCUACGGGAGGCAGCAGUGGGGGAAUUUUUGGGACAAUGGGCGCAAGCCUGAUCCAGCAAUGCCGCGUGCAGGAUGAAGGCCUUCGGUUGGUUAACGUAGCUUUUGUUACGGUAACGGAAACGGUA
rnacentral:rRNA from 1 species